rnacentral:rRNA from 1 species
CGCUGGCGGCGUGCCUACACAUGCAAGUCGAGCGAAUUUACCUUUUGGAAGCCUUCGGGUGAAAGACUGGUAAGUUAGCGGCGGACGGGUGAGUAACGCGUGGGCAACCUACCUUAUACAGGGGAACAACAUUGGGAAACCAGUGCUAAUACCGCAUAAAGCUAAAUUAAGGCAUCUUAAAAUAGCCAAAGAUUUAUCAGUAUAAGAUGGGCCCGCGUCUAAUUAGCUAGUUGGUAAGGUAACGGCUUACCAAGGCGACGAUUAGUAGCCGACCUGAGAGGGUGAUCGGCCACACUGGAACUGAGACACGGUCCAGACUCCUACGGGAGGCAGCAGUGGGGAAUAUUGCACAAUGGGCGCAAGCCUGAUGCAGCAACGCCGCGUGAGUGAUGAAGGCCUUCGGGUCGUAAAACUCUGUUAUAAGGGAAGAAACCAGUGACGGUACCUUAAGAGAAAGCCCCGGCUAACUACGUGCCAGCAGCCGCGGUAAUACGUAGGGGGCAAGCGUUAUCCGGAAUCACUGGGCGUAAAGGGUGCGUAGGCGGUUUUUUAAGUCAGAGGUGAAAGGCUACGGCUCAACCGUAGUAAGCCUUUGAAACUGGAAGACUUGAGUGCAGGAGAGGAGAGUGGAAUUCCUAGUGUAGCGGGUGAAAUGCGUANAUAUUAGGAGGAACACCAGNUGGCGAAGGCGACUCUCUGGACUGCAACUGACGCUGAUGCACGAAAGCGUGGGGGAGCGAACAGGAUUAGAUACCCUGGUA